rnacentral:rRNA from 1 species
UACAGAGGUCUCACGCGUUGUUCGGAUUCAUUGGGCGUAAAGGGUGCGUAGGCGGCGCGGUAAGUCGGGUGUGAAAUCUCGGAGCUUAACUCCGAAACUGCAUUCGAUACUGCCGUGCUUGAGGACUGGAGAGGAGACUGGAAUUUACGGUGUAGCGGUGAAAUGCAUUGAGAUCGGAAAGAAAACCAACGGCGAAAGCACUCUGCUGGGCCGACACUGACACUGAGAGACGAAAGCUAGGGGAGCAAAUGGG